GAUACGGAUAGGUACAGUCAAGUGUAAAAAUAUGGGUGUACACAUCUUACUCAAAAAUAUGUCCCAUAGCAUCUUAUUCCAGUGUAAUAAGAGCGUAGUACCAUAUUUAUGAGACGAUUCUUUCGAUACAUAUUUUUGCACUUGACUGUACGACGACAACCGAAGCUGAGACAUCAUUCUUUUUUGCAGUUUUUAACUAUAUGGUAAUUAAUAUCAAUAAAUCAAUCAAUCAUUUAUUAUUUCGUCAUCAUAGGUGUAAAAUACAUUUAGUACAGCAGGGCUAUUAUGGUCGAUUUUAUAAAUGAUAUGGCUGUAUAAAUGAUAAUAUAACUAACAUUUUAUCCAGUUUUUAUUGAUUUGACGUCUUUUCCACUUUUGACAGCGAUAGAUGUUAAAUGAUUUACUGCAUAACAUGGUCGGUGGAUAAUUUGUCAUUUGUCUAAAUUUCUGACUUAAACUUAGUUGAUAAGUGGAUAAGUUAAAUGAUAUAAAUGACACUUGUCUAGAUUUAUAUCGUUUUAUAGCAUUUAUACCGUUUUGUCUACUUUUGACAGCGAUAGACGGUAAAUGGCAACGUUUGUUGAAUAAUUAAAUAUAUAGUCGAGUUUUGA